rnacentral:tRNA from 1 species
GCUCCGGUGGUGUAGCCCGGUCAAGCAUGGAGGCCUCUCGAGCCUCAGACCCGGGUUCAAAUCCUCUUCCGAUCUCGGCCGGAGCA